GCGCGUUUAGCUCAGUGGUAGAGCGCUUCGUUCACAUCGAAGAGGCCGCUGGUCCGAUCCCAGCAACGCGCA
rnacentral:tRNA from 1 species